GGAGAGUUUGAUCCUGGCUCAGGAUGAACGCUGGCGGCGUGCUUGAUCAAUGCGAGUCGGACGGGUCUACUACGGUAGAUCAGUGGCGUCCGGGUGCGGAACGCGUCGGUAACCUACCGUGGGGUGGGGGCUAUCCUCCCGAAAGGGGGGCCAAUCCCGCCUACGCUCGGGGGCCUGUGGGUCGUCGAGGAAAGCGUGCGAGGGCAGUUCUCGCACGCGCCCUACGAGGGGCUUGCGUCCUAUCAGCUAGUUGGGGGGGUAACGGCCUCCCAAGGCGGAGACGGGUAGCCGGGCUGAGAGGCUGACCGGCCACACGGGGACUGAGAGAUGGUCCCGCGCCCUACGGGGUGUAGCAUGAAGGAAUCUUGCGCACUGGGCGAAAGCCUGACGCAGCAACGCCGCGUGCGGGAUGACGCCUUACGGGGUGUAAACCGCUGUGCGGGGGGACGAACUAAGACGGUACCCCUGCAGGAAGUCUCGGCUAACUCCGUGCCAGCAGCCGCGGUAAGACGGAGGAGGCGAGCGUUAUCCGG
rnacentral:rRNA from 1 species